UACGUAGGGUGCAAGCGUUAAUCGGAAUUACUGGGCGUAAAGCGUGCGCAGGCGGUGAUGUAAGACAGUUGUGAAAUCCCCGGGCUCAACCUGGGAACUGCAUCUGUGACUGCAUCGCUGGAGUGCGGCAGAGGGGGAUGGAAUUCCGCGUGUAGCAGUGAAAUGCGUAGAUAUGCGGAGGAACACCGAUGGCGAAGGCAAUCCCCUGGGCCUGCACUGACGCUCCAUGCACGAAAGCGUGGGGAGCAAACAGG
rnacentral:rRNA from 1 species